rnacentral:lncRNA from 1 species
CUUGGCUCCUCCGCCUCAGAGCCAGGUGCAAGUUGAUAAAAGAAUUCUGGAAAUUGAAGGCCAAGGAAGAGUGACUCAAAAAUAAGAAGCAGGCUGAAAAAUGAGAUGAGGAGACCGAGGCUCGGAGAGGCUUAUGCAUUUGCCCAAGACUCUACAACUCCACAACUUAACAGGCAAUUGCAUCUAGCAUAUAAUGUGUUGGUUAUCCCCAGAACACAGAGCAGUGCAUCUCCACAGCGAGAAUUCCAGAACAGCAUCUCAAAGCUGCUGAAGAGAGACCUGUUGUAGGAUGUGUACU